rnacentral:rRNA from 1 species
AUUGAACGCUGGCGGCAGGCUUAACACAUGCAAGUCGAGCGGGGUGAUGGUGCUUGCACUAUCACUUAGCGGCGGACGGGUGAGUAAUGCUUAGGAAUCUGCCUAUUAGUGGGGGACAACAUCUCGAAAGGGAUGCUAAUACCGCAUACGUCCUAAGGGAGAAAGCAGGGGAUCACUUGUGACCUUGCGCUAAUAGAUGAGCCUAAGUCGGAUUAGCUAGUUGGUGGGGUAAAGGCCUACCAAGGCGACGAUCUGUAGCGGGUCUGAGAGGCUGAUCCGGCACACUGGGGCUGAGACACGCCCCAGGCUCCUACGGGAGGCAGCAGUUGGGAAUAUUGGGCAAUGGGGGGAACCCUGAUCCCGCCAUGCCGCGUGUGUGAAGAAGGCCUUAUGGUUGUAAAGCACUUUAAGCGAGGAGGAGGCUCUUUUGGUUAAUACCCAAGAUGAGUGGUCGUUACUCGCAGAAUAAGCACCGGCUAACUCUGUGCCAGCAGCCGCGGUAA